UUUAUUGAUGAAUGUUUUUCACAAACUUUCUGUUCGGCGACUCCUGAGCCUUGAACUAAACAUGCAUCACCAUCUGAAU
rnacentral:snoRNA from 1 species